GUUGAAAACUCCAUUAGAAAUUUGAAUUGAGAUCAUUUUUGGAAUAAGGGAAAGGGGGAGAUGAAAAAAAAUUGGUGGGGUUCAAUUUUUCUUAUUUCAGGUUUCAGAAAUGAAAAAGAAAAUUUCUUCAAAUAUCAAAGGAUUAAUAUUCAACAGCAUAGUGAAUUGCUCAAAAGCAAAAAAAAAACAUUAGACCACAUUCAUUCUGUGUCAGAAACCUAUGCAGUGUCAACUAUUUAAUCACAAUCCAAAUUCAGAGCUGUAUCCAGUUUGAAUGUUGUGUCCAUACUAGCCCCAACCGUUCAGGGUUCGACCUCGGCGGUCGUAUAAAGCUGCCACCUGCGGAGCAUCUGGUUAUCUCCAUGAAAAAUGUUUUGACUGCAAUGUUUUUCAUGACUUGCAUUACUACCAAACUACACGUGCAUGAAAUUCUAUUCAUAUUCUUUUAUAUAUUGUGUCUUGUGUACUAUUAUUUUUAGGCCAUGGCGUUGUCAGUUUAUUUUCGAUCUAUGAGUUUGACUGUCCCUCUGGUAUCUUUCGCCCCUUUUGAAUACAGACCUAUCUAUAAAUGCCACCUCAAAACCAAAAUAAUCUUGUAUCGGUUUAUGAACAACUAUGACAGAUAUAACUACUUGUUUCUGAUUAUUUAAAUUUGCAUAUCAAACUUUUUUGUCAACAUGUACUUCUAUAGC
rnacentral:lncRNA from 1 species